CAGGUAAAAAGGGAGCUUUCUUCAGUCCACUCAUGGGUGGCGAGAUGGGAUUUCAAUUAGCUGCCGACUCAUUCAUCCAAAUACGGUGUUAUAAAAAGGACGAUAUAUCUCAGCAAAUAUAUGCUCUGUAAAUGAGUGAAUGAUGCGGGAGACAAAUUGAAUCUUAAACUUCCUAUGCUUGGACUGAAGGGAGCUCCCUCUGCUCUUCUU
rfam:Gossypium raimondii Chr03_contig_486, whole genome shotgun sequence.